rnacentral:lncRNA from 1 species
AUGCAUCGUAGCAUACGUUGUGGGGUUCAUUGGGGAACACCAAAAAAGUGGGGAACCGGGGAACACCCUUAGAUUAAGUUAAUCAAUGGUUAAGAUUAGAUUAGAUUUGUAAGGUUUAAAAAACACGGAGGGGCAUAUUUGGAAUUUAUGAAAAGUUUUAAUUAGGUCGCUGGAGAGUAUUACGUAGUUCGCCGGAGAACUCAACCCUCUGCCACACGACACCCACUGAUUCUUUGCUUCCGGCUUCCAAUUCCGUCUCUUUCCGGCGGUUCAGAGAUAAUCGGAUAUGUUAAUUCUGAUUUCGAUCUCGAUCUCCUUCCGGCUGUUUGAAAGAUGCUUAGAUUUGUUAAUUCUGAUUCCGACAUUGUUCCGGCGGUUUAAGAGAUGAUCAGAUCUGUUAAUUUUGAUUCCGAUUUUGUUCCAGCGGUUUCAAAGAUGAACAGAUCUGUUAGUUCUUCCAUUGUUGGUGCUUAAGAUGAUCAGGUCUGUUAAUUCUAUGCUUAGUGCGUGAUUAAGUGAUUAGAUUCAUUCGUACGUUGAUAUACAGGUAUUCACCGACGAUGAUCUAGAUUUUAGUUAGUUUUUUCAAGUGAAAUUCGUGUUGUGGCUCAUUGAUCUGAAAUAUUCUUGUUAGAUCUGAAGUGAAUUUUUAACAUGUUAAUUGAUAUUUUUAUUCUCAACAUAGACUACAGUGGCUUUAAAUGUUACUCAAGAACCUAACAGAUCCUUGAAAGUUCAAUUCAAGCUACUUACAAAGUCUAGUACAUACAGAAACCGGAUUCAUGUGCGGGUGAGCAAAACGCUAAUUCAUUGGUUGAUUUUUAAUCGAAAACAGAUGAACUUGAGGAUAUGUUGAGAGGGAGAAGAAGAAGCAAGAAGAAAGAACCGACUGCUUACUAGAAAACUUACUCACUAGAAAGAACUGAGCCUCAAAAGCCACACACAACAACAUAUCAUCACUGCUGCUGCUCUGUUCCUUACACCAUCGUCACCUUCGAAUUCCCGUCGUCGUCAUCGUCGGCCCUGCUGCUCCGCUCGUUUCACCCAGACGACAACAACAACAGCCGUCACUGCUGCUGGUCGACCACCACCACCGCCAAUCUCGUGGUUGAGAAUAAGGGGUUUUGUCACAUGGUUCCAUCAUCCAUGCUUAGUGCAUGAAUCAAGUCCAUCUAAAGCUGCAUUAGAGUUAAUAUAUGAAAUGGUGGUUCAGGAAUCGGGUCAAAAUGUGGAUUACACCCAGGACUAUCUUAGCAAUGUAAUCCAGUUUCCUUUCUAGUGAGUAGUGACCAAGGGUACAGAGGCAGAGUUAGCCGAGAAAGCACACACGAAAUCUUGCAGAAACUUGUAGAGGUUGACUUUCUUCUCAAACUCAACAUGACCGUUACUUUCAAAAUUCCCAUUUUCAAGAAGAGGUAUCUUUCUUGAUUGGUUUCUUAGCCAUCAUUGAGGCGCUCUAUAUUGACAUUACGAGGGAUGCUCAUGUUACCAAAGAACAACAUAAACCAUAUGUUGUGGUUUUUGUGGGAGUUAAUGGAGUAGGAAAGUCUACUAAUCUUGCCAAGUGGCUGCAGGAGCAUGAUGUCAAUGUCAUGAUGGCUGCAUGUGACACAUUCUGUUCAGAAGCAGUUGAGCAGCUGCGUACUCAUGCACGUAGGCUCCAGAUCCCUAUUUUGGAAAAGGGUUAUGAGAAAGAUCAUGCAAUCGUUGCUAAGGAAGCAAUUCAGGAGGCUACCCGAACGGGUCAGACGUUGUUCUUAUUGACACAGCUGGUUAGAUGCAGCUUUAAAGGCGACAAAACUAUUUAUAAUAUUGUUUUCUUCUUGUAAUUAUGUGUAUUAUGUUUUUAUUUGUGUAUAAACUUUAUGUUAUUACAAUCUGAUCUGAAUCAUGUGAAGUUUGCAUAUAUAUAAUAUUCGAUUCAGAUUAGUUGUGAUAAGUUUCUAGGGUUAAUAAAGCAAGAAUUGCGAU